rnacentral:sRNA from 1 species
AACGCAGCGAAAUGCGAUAAGUAAUGUGAAUUGCAGAAUUCAGUGAAUCAUCGAAUCUUUGAACGCACAUUGCGCCCGGCAGCAAUCUGCCGGGCAUGCCUGUCCGAGCGUCAUUUCUCCCCUCGAGCGCGGCUAGCCCUACGGGGCCUGCCGCCGCCCGGUGUUGGGGCUCUACGGGUGGGGCUCGUCCCCCCCGCAGUCCCCGAAAUGUAGUGGCGGUCCAGCCGCGGCGCCCCCUGCGUAGUAGAUCCUACAUCUCGCAUCGGGUCCCGGCGAAGGCCAGCCGUCGAACCUUCUUACUCAUGGUUUGACCUCGGAUCAGGUAGGGUUACCCGCUGAACUUAAGCAUAUCAAUA